rnacentral:rRNA from 1 species
CAAAGGUUGACCUCGGAUCAGGUAGGAAUACCCGCUGAACUUAAGCAUAUCAAUAAGCGGA